rnacentral:rRNA from 1 species
GAUGAACGCUGGCGGCGUGCCUAAUACAUGCCAGUCGAGCGAACAGACGAGGAGCUUGCUCCUCUGACGUUAGCGGCGGACGGGUGAGUAACACGUGGAUAACCUACCUAUAAGACUGGGAUAACUUCGGGAAACCGGAGCUAAUACCGGAUAAUAUAUUGAACCGCAUGGUUCAAUAGUGAAAGACGGUUUUGCUGUCACUUAUAGAUGGAUCCGCGCCGCAUUAGCUAGUUGGUAAGGUAACGGCUUACCAAGGCAACGAUGCGUAGCCGACCUGAGAGGGUGAUCGGCCACACUGGAACUGAGACACGGUCCAGACUCCUACGGGAGGCAGCAGUAGGGAAUCUUCCGCAAUGGGCGAAAGCCUGACGGAGCAACGCCGCGUGAGUGAUGAAGGUCUUCGGAUCGUAAAACUCUGUAAUUAGGGAAGAACAAAUGUGUAAGUAACUAUGCACGUCUUGACGGUACCUAAUCAGAAAGCCACGGCUAACUACGUG